GACGAACGCUGGCGGCGUGCUUAACACAUGCAAGUCGAGGGUAGCAAUACACUGGCGCAAGGGUGCGUAACGCGUAGAUUAUCUGCCCCAUACACUAACAUAACGCUUGGAAACGGUGCUAAUAUUAGAUGAGGUGCUUCGGCAUCAAAGUUUCGACGGUAUGGGAUGAGUCUGCGUCUGAUUAGCUAGUUGGUAGUGUAAUGGACUACCAAGGCGACGAUCAGUAGCUGGUCUGAGAGGACGAUCAGCCACACUGGAACUGAGACACGGUCCAGACUCCUACGGGAGGCAGCAGUGAGGAAUUUUGCGCAAUGGACGAAAGUCUGACGCAGCGACGCCGCGUGUGGGAUGAAGGGGCUACGCCCUGUAAACCACUGUUAGAUGUGAAAAAAAGAUGGCUUUGCCGUCCGGGAUUGUAACAUCAAAGAAGGACCGGCUAACUACGUGCCAGCAGCCGCGGU
rnacentral:rRNA from 1 species